rnacentral:rRNA from 1 species
GACGAACGCUGGCGGCGUGCUUAACACAUGCAAGUCGAACGGAAAGGCCCUGCUUGCAGGGUACUCGAGUGGCGAACGGGCGAGUAACACGUGGGUGAUCUGCCCUGCACUUCUGGAUAAGCCUGGGAAACUGGGUCUAAUCGCUGAUAGGGGCCACUUUUUGUGUGUUGGUUGGAAAGUUUUUUGGGUGUAGGAUGAGCUCGCGGCCUAUCGGCUUGUUGGUGCGGUAAUGGCCUACCAAGGCGGCGACGGGUAGCCGGCCUGCGAGGGUGGGCGGCCACAUUGGGACUGAGGUGCGGCCCAGACUCCUAAGGGAGGCAGCAGGGGGGAAUAUUGCACAAUGGGCGCAAGCCUGAUGCAGCGACGCUGCGUGGGGGAUGACGGCCUUCGGGUGGUAGACUCCUUUCGCUAGGGACGAAGCUUUUUGUGACGGUACCUAGAUAAGAAGCACCGGCUAACUACGUG